CAGCAGCCGCGGUAAUGCGAAGGGUGCAAGCGUUAAUCGGAAUUACUGGGCGUAAAGCGUGCGCAGGCGGUUGUGUAAGACAGGUGUGAAAUCCCCGGGCUUAACCUGGGAACUGCGCUUGUGACUGCACAGCUAGAGUAUGGCAGAGGGGGGUGGAAUACCACGUGUAGCAGUGAAAUGCGUAGAGAUGUGGAGGAACACCGAUGGCGAAGGCAGCCCCCUGGGCCAAUACUGACGCUCAUGCACGAAAGCGUGGGGAGCAAACAGGAUUAGAUACCCGUGUAGUCCCUGUCUCUUAUAA
rnacentral:rRNA from 1 species